rnacentral:rRNA from 1 species
UACAUGGGGUGCAAACGUUGCUCGGAAUUAUUGGGCGUAAAGCGCGCGUAGGCGGUUGCCUAAGUCGGACGUGAAAGCCCUCGGCUUAACCGAGGAAGUGCAUCCGAAACUGCAAGGCUAGAGUCUCGGAGAGGAUCGUGGAAUUCUCGGUGUAGAGGUGAAAUUCGUAGAUAUCGAGAGGAACACCGGUGGCGAAGGCGGCGAUCUGGACGGUGACUGACGCUGAGACGCGAAAGCGUGGGGAGCAAACGGG